rnacentral:rRNA from 1 species
UACGUAGGGGCAAGCGUUGUCCGGAAUCAUUGGGCGUAAAGCGCGUGUAGGCGGCUUGGUAAGUCCGCUCUGAAAGCCCGGGGCUCAACCCCGGGAGGCGGGUGGAUACUGUCAAGCUCGAGUCCGGAAGAGGCGAGUGGAAUUCCUGGUGUAGCGGUGAAAUGGCGCAGAUAUCAGGAGGAACACCAAUGGCGAAGGCAGCUCGCUGGGACGUGACUGACGCUGAGACGCGAAAGCGUGGGGAGCAAACAGG